CCGAGGUGGUGGUGGUGGUGGUUGUGGUGGAGGAAGUUGGCAUUGGGUGGGGGCAUUCAAUCACAUGGUGUGACGUUAGGUGCCCAUUUAAGGACGGGCACAGUUUAUGAGCGGGGCCAACCGGGAGUGUCAGGUGGGCGGGCGUUCAGGGGCAGGCCAACGUCAAGGUGGGCAACGCAGGAGGGGCAUGUCGAUCCAGUACAUGGGCAAUGAAGGAAGGUGGCCAAAAAAUAAAUAAAUAAAUAAAAUAAAGGAGAGGGGAAGAGGGGGAGAAGGAAUACAUUUUAAAUUGAGUACAUGCUGAUUUUGGUCAAAAAAGUGAAAUAAGAGACUUGAAACUGUGGUGAGUGGAGAACAACAACUGGUGUGUGUGUGACCUGGUCAAACAUCACUGUAAAAGCUGGGAGCACUACAGACAUUGGCCUCAUUUCAAAACCUAAAGAUAGUUGGAGCACUUCUGUCCACCCCCACUUAGUUUCAAGUAGGGCUGGGCAAAAAAACUAAACAACAACAACAACAAAAAACCCAUGCCCCCACACUGAUCAAUAUUUAUCAUGGUAUCUAAUUUAAUACUGCUACUACUUUGGGGAACCAGAUCAUGACAAACAGCUCAAAGGUUCUUGAGUUAAACUUUGUCUAACUAUAUUGCUUUGGGAGAAGCACUUUGUAUACAUGUAGACAUGGUUAGA